rnacentral:rRNA from 1 species
UACGUAGGGGGCUAGCGUUGUCCGGAAUCAUUGGGCGUAAAGCGCGCGUAGGCGGCCCGGUAAGUCCGCUGUGAAAGUCCAGGGCUCAACCCUGGAAAGCCGGUGGAUACUGCCGGGCUAGAGUCCGGAAGAGGCGAGUGGAAUUCCUGGUGUAGCGGUGGAAUGCGCAGAUAUCAGGAGGAACACCGAUGGCGAAGGCAGCUCGCUGGGACGGUACUGACGCUGAGGUGCGAAAGCGUGGGGAGCAAACAGG